UUCCUGAUGUUUAAUCGGAAUCUCCUUUCUCGCAACUUGGAUCCAUUGGUUCAGGUGCCACCUUCCAAAAUAGGAGAAAAGAAGCUUGCUCCAUCUUCCACGUGGCAACCCUUGAGAUAUUUGAAGAUGGCUAUCAUAUCUCCUCUCAGUCUCUCUUUUUGAGGCUAAACAUACCCAGCUCCUUCAACC